UUUGUGACCUGGUCCACUAACC
rnacentral:miRNA from 14 species